rnacentral:rRNA from 1 species
GUUUUUAAGGGCAAAUGGUGGAUGCCUUGGGAUAUCAAGGCGAUGAAGGACGUGGCGUAGCUGCGAUAAGCCUCGGGGAGGUGCCUAGCAACCUUUGAUCCGGGGAUUUCCGAAUGGGGAAACCUAAUUUUGCGAUAAGCAAAAUUGCCCGGCCCGCAAGGGCAUAGGGCGCGAACCCGCUGAAGUGAAACAUCUCAGUAAGCGGAGGAAAAGAAAAAAAUUUUUAUUUCCUUAGUAGCGGCGAGCGAAAAGGAAGAAGCCCAAAUCCCCACCUUCUUUAAGAAGAUGGGGAGGUUGUAAGAAGAUGGUGUCGGGAGCCCCGCUUUUAGCAGGACUUUCGAGGGAGAGGAUUUAGAUGAAGAUUAAUUAGAAGAAUGUCCCUGGAAAGGGCAGCCGUAGAAGGUAAUAGCCCUGUAUUUGAAAAUUUCUUCGUGCUCCUUACUGUCUUUCUUGAGUACUACGGGAAAAGAAAAUCCUGUAGGAAACAGGCCGAACUAAUCGGCCAAGGCUAAAUACUAUGAUAUCCCCGAUAGUGAACUAGUACCGUGAGGGAAAGGUGAAAAGCAACCCGGUGAGGGUGGUGAAAUAGAACCUGAAACCAUUAUGCCCACAAGGAGUCAACGCGGUGUCUCACUAACGUUCGACACCGCUUAAAUUUAAAAUGCAAAUCUCAAAAUGUAAUUUGAUUUUUGAUUUUUAAAUUUUGAAUUUAGGUGGCGAGCGGUAGCGAGACACCGUUAUGGCGUGCCUAUUGAAGAAUGAGCCAACGAGUUUCCGCUUAACUUUUGUCUAAGGGGUUUUGCCCCGGAGGCACAGGGAAACCAAGUGUUAAAAGCGCGUUUUAAAAGUUUAGCGGAAGACCCGAAGCCAAGCGAGCUUGCCAUGGCCAGGGUGAAUCCCGCAGAAAUGCGAGAGGAGGCCCGAACCCGUGAGCCGUGCAAUACUCUGGGAUGAGCUGUGGUAAGAAGUGAAAAGCUAAUCGAGCUUGGUAAUAGCUGGUUCUCUCCGAAAUAGCUUUAGGGCUAGCGUUACCCAUUUUCUCGGGGGUAGAGCACUAGAUGGAGUUUCUUGGGUUUUACCCGGAUUCUCCAACUAAACUCCGAAUACCGAGAAGUUAAAAGUGGGUGGCAGUCAGACUGUGGGGGCUAAGCUCCAUAGUCAAGAGGGAAAAAGCCCAGAUCUUUAUCUAAGGUCCCUAAAUUCAAGCUAAGUGUUCUUAAGGAGGUGAAAUUCCAAUGAUAGCUAGAAGGUUAGCUUAGAAGCAGCGAACCUUUGAAAAGUGCGUAACAGCUUACUAGCUAAGGGAUUUUGCGCCGAAGAUUUACGGGACUAAAGCUUGAUACCGAAGAUAAGAGAACGUACAAUUUGCUUUGCAAAUGUUACGUUCGGUAGGAGAGCGUCUCCCAUCUUGUGAAGGUAGGCCGUGAGGGUUACUGGAAGAUGGGGGAGUGAGAAUGUUGGCAUGAGUAACCACAAUCCCGAUGAGAUAUCGGGACACCAAAAACCUGAGGUUUCCUUGGCAAUGGGAAUCAUCCAAGGGUUAGGCGGCCCUAAUCCCGAUUCCGAACGGAAUCGUGGAGAUGGACAGCCGGUUAAUAUUCCGGCCCACCCGUUAGAUAAACUUCAAAUGACGCAGUCAAAAUUUUUGGAAGGGUUAUUGGAUUCCGAGUCCCGCUUUUAGCGGGACGCUCCAAAAAUUAGAUUGCCUAGAAAAGUUUGAAAUAUAUUAUCUAAUGGGUUCCGUACCACAAACCGACACAGGUAGGUAGGUGUAAGAGCACCAAGGUGAACGAGUGAAAGCUCCUGAAGGAACUCGGCAAAAAAGCGUCUGUAAGUUCGCAAUAUAGACUACCCCUCCUUUUUUAAAAAGAAGGGGUUGCAACAAACGUACCCCUGGCGACUGUUUACCAAAAACACAGGUCCCUGCUCAACUCGUAAGAGGAUAUAUAGGGGCUGAAGCCUGACCAGUGCUGGAACGUUAACGAUGGCGGUCCAAGCACAUAGAUUUUAUGUGUUUGGGCUAACUGUUUGAAGCUUCCAGUGAACGUCGGCAGUAACUAUAACUGUCCAAAGGUAGCGUAAUCUCUUGCCAGGUAAGUUCUGGCCCGCAUGAAAGGCCUAACGACCGGGGGACUGUCUCCAGGAGUUGCUCGGUGAAAAUACAAUAAGCGUGAAGACGCGCUUUACCUGCGGCUAGACGGAAAGACCCCGGGAGCUUUACUGUAAUUAGACAUUGAAUUUUGACUUUAAAUGCGUAGCGUAGAAGGGAGACUUUGAAUCCCGACUUUCGGGUCGGGAGGAGUCGCCAAUGAAACACCUUUCUUUUAAAAUCUUAAUUCUAACCCAGCUUUCAGCGGGAAACAGUGUCUAAUGGGCAGUUUAAGUGGGGCACUUGCCUCCUAAAAGGUAAUGGAGGCGUUCAAAGGUCGGCUAGCUCCGGAUGGAAAUCGGAGCGGUCGCGUAAAGGCACAAGCCGGCUUUACUGCAAGACGGAUAUGUCGCGCAGUUGGGAAACCAGGACUUAGUGAACCGACGAAUUUUCAUAGAAAAUUCGAAGAUCAUCAACCAAAAGUUACCCCGGGGAUAACAGGCUAGUAGGGCCCGCGAGUCCAUAUCAACGGCCCUGUUCGGCACCUCGAUGUCGGCUCAACACAUCCUGGGGGUGAAGCCGCUCCCAAGGGUUUGGCUGUUCGCCAAUUAAAGUGUUACGUGAGCUGGGUUCAAACCGUCGACUAAAGCUUUUGUGCUGUUAACAAGCUAGGCGGCCUGUAAUAGUAAUAUUACAGUGAAUAAAUCGACUCAUAUCGGUGAAGUCCUUGCAUUUUAUCCUGUCAUAUGCUAGGAUAAUACCGAGGGAAGUCGUGUAUGAUAAAAUUAAUUUCGCAAACACAAAGAUCAUAUUUGGCUGGAUUUCUUGAUGGAGAUGGUAGCNNNNNNNNNNCAAAUAAAACAUAUAGAUAUGGUUUUCAGGUUGUAAAUUAUAUCGUGCUGUUUCAAUCACAGAAAGACCAAAAUAAUUUUGCUAAAGUUUGUGCACUAAUUAAUUUAGGAUAUUUAAGGGUUAGAAAGGAUGGAAUUCUCGAAUAUAUUAUUGGGACUCAAGAAGGAGUAAAGAAGUUUAUCGAAAUAGUUGAGCCUUAUGNNNNNNNNNNNAAGGCUCAAAUAAAUCUCUUAAAGAAAAUUAUUGUUCAAAAAAGUAAAGUUAAGUGCCAAAAAGAUUUUAACGAUCUUGCAGGAUUAAUUGAUACUUUUCGCGAUUUAAAUUAUUCAAAAAAGCGAAAAGUUCGUACAUUGACCCCGUAGAGACUUAACCAAUAAUAAUGGUUAGAGUCGCGAAAGCGGCUAAUACGUCGAUUACCCAAAGUAAACUGGGUAGUGGUAUAGUCCAUACAUUUAGUAAUAAAUGACAAAUAUGCGUGAGACAGGUUGGUCCUUAUCUACCGUAGGCGCGGAGUUUUGAGAGGGCUCGUCCCCAGUACGAGAGGACCGGGAUGAACCAACCUCUGGUGUACCAGUUGUUCCGCCAGGAGCAUUGCUGGGUAGCUAUGUUGGGUUAGGAUAAGCGCUGAAAGCAUCUAAGCGCGAAACCUUCCUCAAGAUUAGAACUCAUAGAUUCCUCGAAGACUACGAGGUUGAUAGGCUCCAGGUGUAAGUCCAGUAAUGGAUUGAGCCGAGGAGUACUAAUAAAUCAUUUAGCUU